GGUAUUGGUGGUGAUGUGGUUGUGGUGGUGGCGGUAGGGGUAGAGGACCAGUGAUUCUGGUGCAGCCGCGGUAGUGAUCAGUCUACCUGAAGCUGUCGCGAGAAAAGGAACGCUUGACCAGCUAUCCACGUGCCCUCAACUGCUGAAGCGCAGCCAUGACUGUUUGGGCAGGCCUCUUUGUGGUGAUGGCCGCAAUGGUGAUCUUGCCUCCACCAGCUUCCUCUCAGGGAAGGAAAACCAUCUCCAAGCCAGACUUCCCGUGUGGCGAGCCUUACGGACGGAAUGGCGAGCUGCCGGAGAGAAGCAGGAGGAAGCGACAGAUUGUCUUCCCCGACGAACCGAAAUACGCGGAUCUCUUGAAGGUGCUGUUUGAUGCAAGUUUAACACGCUCCGGCAAGAAUGUUACGGGUAUCACAGAACCUAAUAAGAGUUUAUGCGGUGCCACUGUCAUCAGUGACCAGUUCAUCCUGACAGCCGGUCACUGCGUGUCGGGCAGCACUAAGAAAAUAUCAAUGGUGUCCCUGGGCGACCUUGACCUGACCCAAGAAGGUGAAGAAAACUCCAGAGUCGCCACCUAUGAGGUAGAAGGUGUCUUCCUCCAUCAUAAUUACAGCCACGACAAACCAACGCGCCACCAUGACGUGGCACUAAUCAAAACGAAAACAAAAAUACAGUUCAACGACGUUGUCUUCCCCAUGUGCAUAUCCGAUGAAAUCCCUCCACCAGGAACCAUCGUCGUCAUCUCCGGCUUCGGCUACUAUAAUGCCACGCACCAGCCAGACCACCUGCUGGAGGGCAACUUCACGGUAAUGGACACAGCCGAGUGUGAGAACAUCUACAAGGAGCAUGGCCACGAGCCCUUACUCAGAAUCAAGUACCCAAACCUGCUGCAGGGAACUGACGUCAUCUGCGCCAUAGACGACGUGGUUGACGCCUGCCAGGGAGACUCCGGUGGCCCCGUGAUUAGGGAAAAGAAUGGUAAGUUAUUCAUAGAAGGAGUCGUGUCGGGAGGAGCAAACUGCCACGGGAACUUCAAGUCAGUGCUGCCCGGCCUGUACAUCUCUAUAGCCAAACAGAUAGACUUCAUCGACAGUCAUGUGUACGGAUCUCCUGCUGUUGUGCCCUAGGUGUGUGUGUGUGUGUGUGUGUGUGUGUGUGUGUGUGUGUGUGUGUGUGUGUGUGUGUGCGUGUGUGUGUGUGUGUGUGUGUGUGUGUGUGUUUGU
rnacentral:misc_RNA from 1 species